GGCCAGACUCCUACGGGAGGCAGCAGUGAGGAAUAUUGGUCAAUGGGCGAGAGCCUGAACCAGCCAAGUCGCGUGAGGGAAGACGGUCCUAUGGAUUGUAAACCUCUUUUGCCGGGGAGCAAAAAGCGGUACGUGUACCGCAUCGAGAGUACCCGGAGAAAAAGCAUCGGCUAACUCCGUGCCAGCAGCCGCGGUAAUACGGAGGAUGCGAGCGUUAUCCGGAUUUAUUGGGUUUAAAGGGUGCGCAGGCGGCGAGUUAAGUCGGGGAUAAAUUUGGGGGCCUCCCCCCCGACAAGCCGUUGAAACUGGCUGUCUUGAGAUGUCGAGAGGUAUGCGGAAUGCGCAGUGUAGCGGUGAAAUGCUUAGAUAUUGCGCAGAACUCCGAUUGCGAAGGCAGCAUACCGGCGGCGAUCUGACGCUGAGGCACGAAAGCGUGGGUAUCGAACAGGAUUAGAUACCCCUGUA
rnacentral:rRNA from 1 species